CCUACGGGUGGCAGCAGUGGGGAAUAUUGGGCAAUGGGCGCAAGCCUGACCCAGCAACGCCGCGUGAAGGAAGAAGGCUUUCGGGUUGUAAACUUCUUUUAAGAGGGAAGAGCAGAAGACGGUACCUCUUGAAUAAGCCACGGCUAACUACGGGCCAGCAGCCGCGGGAAUACGUAGGUGGCAAGCGGUGUCCGGAUUUACGGGGUGUAAAGGGCGUGCAGCCGGGAAGACAAGUCAGAUGUGAAAUCCCGCGGCUCAACCGCGGAACUGCCUUUGAAACUGUUUUUCUUGAGUACCGGAGUUGUCAUCGGAAUUCCUUGUGUAGCGGUGAACUGCGUAGAUAUCAGGAAGAACACCAGUGGCGCAGGCGGGUUCCUGGACAUUACCUGCCGCUGAGGCACGAAGGCCAGGGGAGCGAACCGGAUUAGAUACCCUAGUAGUC
rnacentral:rRNA from 1 species